UACGUAGGUGGCAAGCGUUGUUCGGAAUUAUUGGGCGUAAAGCGUGCGUAGGCGGUUUGUUAAGUCCGCUGUGAAAGCCCUGGGCUCAACCUGGGAAUUGCAGUGGAUACUGGCAAGCUAGAGUGCGGUAGAGGAUGGUGGAAUUCCCGGUGUAGCGGUGAAAUGCGUAGAUAUGUGGAGGAACACCGAUGGCGAAGGCAGCCCCCUGGGUCAAAACUGACGCUCAUGCACGAAAGCGUGGGGAGCGAACAGG
rnacentral:rRNA from 1 species